rnacentral:rRNA from 1 species
AGUGAACGCUGGCGGUAGGCCUAACACAUGCAAGUCGAACGGCAGCACAGUAAGAGCUUGCUCUUACGGGUGGCGAGUGGCGGACGGGUGAGGAAUACAUCGGAACCUACUUUUUCGUGGGGGAUAACGUAGGGAAACUUACGCUAAUACCGCAUACGACCUACGGGUGAAAGCAGGGGAUCUUCGGACCUUGCGCGAUUGAAUGAGCCGAUGUCGGAUUAGCUAGUUGGCGGGGUAAAGGCCCACCAAGGCGACGAUCCGUAGCUGGUCUGAGAGGAUGAUCAGCCACACUCGAACUGAGACACGGUCCAGACUCCUACGGGAGGCAGCAGUGGGGAAUAUUGGACAAUGGGCGCAAGCCUGAUCCAGCCAUACCGCGUGGGUGAAGAAGGCCUUCGGGUUGUAAAGCCCUUUUGUUGGGAAAGAAAAGCAGCAGGUUAAUACCCCGCUGUUCUGACGGUACCCAAAGAAUAAGCACCGGCUAACUUCGUG